rnacentral:rRNA from 1 species
UGGGGAAUUUUGGACAAUGGGCGAAAGCCUGAUCCAGCAAUGCCGCGUGUGUGAAGAAGGCCUUCGGGUUGUAAAGCACUUUUGUCCGGAAAGAAAUCCUUGGCUCUAAUACAGUCGGGGGAUGACGGUACCGGAAGAAUAAGCACCGGCUAACUACGUGCCAGCAGCCGCGGUAAUACGUAGGGUGCAAGCGUUAAUCGGAAUUACUGGGCGUAAAGCGUGCGCAGGCGGUUUGCUAAGACCGAUGUGAAAUCCCCGGGCUCAACCUGGGAACUGCAUUGGUGACUGGCAGGCUAGAGUAUGGCAGAGGGGGGUAGAAUUCCACGUGUAGCAGUGAAAUGCGUAGAGAUGUGGAGGAAUACCGAUGGCGAAGGCAGCCCCCUGGGCCAAAUACUGACGCUCAUGCACGAAAGCGUGGGGAGCAAACAGGAUUAGAUACCCUGGUAGUCCACGCCCUAAACGAUGUCAACUAGUUGUUGGGGACUUCAUUUCCUUAGUAACGUAGCUAACGCGUGAAGUUGACCGCCUGGGGAGUACGGUCGCAAGAUUAAAACUCAAAGGAAUUGACGGGGUCAUAGCUGUUUCC